rnacentral:rRNA from 1 species
UCCGUAGGCGGUGUGGCAAGUCGGGAGUGAAAUCUCUGGGCUUAACCCAGAGGCUGCUUCCGAAACUGCCAUGCUAGAGUGUGAGAGAGGCGAGUGGAAUUACGGGUGUAGCGGUGAAAUGCGUAGAUAUCCGUAGGAACAUCCGAGGCGAAGGCGGCUCGCUGGAUCACAACUGACGCUGAGGGACGAAAGCUAGGGGAGCAAACA